UACCAGCACCCCGAGUGGUCGGGACGUUUAUUGGGCCUAAAGCAUCCGUAGCCGGUUCUGCAAGUCUUCCGUUAAAUCCACCUGCUUAACAGAUGGGCCGCGGAAGAUACUAUAGAGCUAGGAGGCGGGAGAGGCAAGCGGUACUCGAUGGGUAGGGGUAAAAUCCGUUGAUCCAUUGAAGACCUCCAGUGGCGAAGGCGGCUUGCCAGAACGCGCUCGACGGUGAGGGAUGAAAGCUGGGGGAGCAAACCGG
rnacentral:rRNA from 1 species